ensembl:lncRNA
CUGAAGGAAGUGCAUCUGUUGUCUUGCACAUUUUUUCACUGUGGACCUGCACAGGAUGAAACUGAGAUGUUUCACCCAGACCGUCACUUAAGCAGUGGAGAACCUCCAACACAAAUUCACUAUUAACUUGCAGGCAGUUUUCUUUGGUCAAAUACAGUCUGUUACAAACACGAACAAAGCAGAUUGCCAUUUUGCUUUUCAGUUAUUUCUGUUUCAGUUAUUCAAACAGUUCACCCAAGUAUUUUAACUGCCACCAGUCUCAUUUUCUACAUUUUUGAAUUCUUCACAUUGUAUUUGGGCAGAUCUUUUGUGGGUUGUAGUAAUAUAUAGAUGGGGUCUGAGAGGAAAUGACAUUAAGUUUGCUGCUUGUUUCAAUUGUUUUGUGUUCUAAGUAAACAAAUGUGCAAUCUUCAGGUGAGAAAAAGUUAUUUCCCAAAAUUGGAUUCAUGGCAGAGUAGCAAGGCUGAAACCACUGCUCACUCAGAAAAUGAAUGCUUGUCUCAGGUUGGAGAAAAAGCACCUGGAUGAUGCUCCAGAGUAUGUGGAACAUUUUGGAUGAUGGGUCCUGUUAUGUUUGGCCAAAAACAAACCCUGCAAAUUCACAAUCUAAAACCUAAUAUCACGGUCAAGUGUGGCGGUGGCAGUGUCAUGGCUUGGGGAUGCUUUGCAGCAAUAAUACCUGGACAACUUGCCAUAAUCUAAAGAAACACAAAUUCGGAUUUGUAUCAGAAUUCUAUAGGAGAAUAUCAGGCUAUCCGUUUGUGAGCUGAAGCACAUCUGGGUCAUGCAACAACACAAUUAUCUGAAACCCACAAGCAAGACUACAUCAGGGUGGUUUAAAAACAAAAUAAUUACAGUGUUGUCAAAGUCUAGAGUCUAGACAUAAGCACCAUUUACAAUUUUUCCCAAUUGCUAAAAAAAUUCUAAAUUGGGCUCAUCAUGUCUAAACUUUACACACAGGAAAACUAAACACAACAUUUGGAGAUUAACAUCUGUCACGUCAAAAUUACAUUCAACAAUCAAAAUGAAACAUAAUUCAAAAGGUCAUUUUUGGAUCAAUAGGAAAUGCACAUGCACAUUAGACAUUCAAAGCAGCAACAAAACACUGGUCAGCUGUAUUCAAAACACUGCUGUCAUUUGUACUUUGUAGGUCUUUAUUUUCUCAUACAUGCCUCUGUAAAAAAACUGUUCAAGUGCAGUAAAUCUACUCACAGUUCAAGCAACCGAAAAUUUGAUUAUUUGUUUGCUAUUGCAGGUGUUAAUAACAACAACAAAUAGAAAAGUUUGUACAGUCAUUUUAGGGAGUACAGUCGACCCCACCUCAGUGUCUCCGCAUGCCUCAUCCCUUGCUUGCAGAAGAGGCAGGAGAUGUGAUUGGUGGUCAUAUACUUUCCAACACCAAGCUGAAAAGAAUUCCUCAAUCGUAUUGAGAAAUGGGGAAUAAGGGACAGAUAGAAAACUGUUCAAAUUAUUGUGGUUGGUUUACCAGAGCAGCCUGGUGGAAACUAACAAAUGAUGACAACAUACCUGGGCUGCUCUGGUCUGUCCUGUCUAACUGUAGUAAGUAAUGCAUCCAGAAAGGUUAGUAUGACUGAUUGGUGUUUAGUUACAGUUUAAAUGUUGUAAAAUGUGCCAAUUUCAUGUGUGUUUUGCUUAUUGAAUGAAAGGGUUUUCCCAAUGACUGCAAGGGGUUUCAUUAUUGAACAAAGUGUAAUGUACAAAAUUGUGUGUAAUGUUUUGCACAAUGUGUGUUGCAGAAUUAUCAAGUGCAAAACUGAAAAUGUGUUUAUACCUUUGGUCCCUGUGUGUAAGACAAGCUUGCAAAAGGUAGGGUUUUCAUGCUUUGGUCUAAGCAUUCACUUUGUGUUAGCAAUCGGGAAAAACUGUAAAUGUUGCAGGAGGACUUGAAACGAGCACUGCUGACACUCCAAAAAGAUUAUUGUAAAGUGACAUUGGUUUAAUAUUAAGAAAUAUUUGUAAGAAAAAUAAAAAAUAUGUUCCAUACGUUUUAAACUCCUGUGCUGUGGAAACUCCCAGUCAACACAGAAAAAAAGACAGUCGGCAUUCACUUGUGAACUAUUCAAAUUCCUGUCACAUUUUCUGGACCAAAUCCCACUGAAUGAUCGAUGGUAUAAGGCUAAGCACCUAAAGGAAACUUCAUUAGGAAAUGUGCACAACAACGUUUUUUGGGUAUUCCAAUGAACAUUUGGAUCAAUGAUCAGAUAACAAAGGAUGG